UCCAGGAUGUCUGGCUCUAGGUGAGUGAUUACACCAUCGUGGUUAUCUGGGUCAUGAAGAUCUUUUUUGUAUAGUUCUAUAUAUUCUUGCCACCUCUUCUUAAUAUCUUCUGCUUCUGUUAGGUCCAUACCAUUUUUGUCCUUUAUUGUGCCCCUUUUUUGCAUGAAAUGUUCCCUUGGUAUCUCUAAUUUUCUUGAAGAGAUCUCUAGUCUUUCCCAUUCUAUUGUUUUCCUCUAUUUCUUUGCAUUGAUCACUGAGAAAGGCUUUAUCUCUCCUUGCUAUUCCCUUGGAACUCUGCAUUCAAAUGAAUAUAUCUUUCCUUUUCUUCUUUGCCUUUAGCUUCUCUUCUUUUCUCGACAAUCAUUUUGCCUUUUUCUUUCAGAAAAUCUUACCGUCAGUGACCGCUCCUUGAUAAUAAUGGCACUGUUACACAUCACUAGGGCUUCCCUGGCAGCUCAGAUAGUCAGGAAUCUGCCCACAAUGUGGGAGACCCAGGUUCGACCCCUGAAUCGGGAGAUCCCCUGGAGAAGGGAAUGGCAACCCACUCCAGUAUUCUUGCCUAAAAUAAUCCCAUAGACAGAGUAGUCUGACAGGCUACAGUCCAUGUGGUCGCAAAUAGUCAAACAAGACAGAGCAACUAACAUUUUCACUUUCACUACACUUAAAAAUAACAAAUUUGGGGAAGUUUGUAUUUAUCAUUCAGAUUUAGAUUUACAGGAUUUCAUCUGAAUUGGUUUACAAUACUAAAUGCACAUAAUCACAGAGACUUAAGCCCUAAAUAGGUUAAAACAAUUCUAAUGUCCUGCCUUAAUAAUGUAGGGCUUAAGUAAUUGCAUUAGGAAAACCCUCCACACAACUUUAGUUGAUGCAUGAAAUUUCACAUUAGAAAUUCAAGAUUAAUCUUUCUACUGAAUAUUCACACUAACCACAAGUAUACAUUUAUAUGCAGGCCAUCACCAAACAGAAGGAAAAAAAAAAAUCAUCCCUAUUUCACUCCACAACUUUUAAACUUACACUGCCAAGAAGUUCUGAAAAUAAACACUGCAGCACAAACACGAUACAAAAAUGUUAAAAUAAAGGAGGAAGGGAUUAAUCUGCUUGUUGAAAUUUAAAGACGGGCCAAAACCAUUUUUUUUUAUAAAAGAGAGAGAGGGAGGAUGGGAGGGACACACAUACAGAGAGACUGGAAGUUUAUUCUGUAUCAGCUAAAAAUUAUGUUCAGUCCAAAUGUCUCACAGAUUAAAAACUAUGUCGAAUGCUGUCAAGGGUUUCACGCACCUCCUCACCAGGUGAGAGCAUCUGAAGUUCUCUAUAACUAAAAACUGAUUGUUUCCAUUUUGGAAGGUCAAUGAAGUUUCAUUGAAGCCCCUCAGUCAUAAUCACAAAUGCCUCAAGAAUAUAAGGUUGGACAAUCGGUCUCUGCCCAGAGGAAAUCUGACUCUGGGCUGGGGAAUAAAUAAUAUGCAGUUUCGCAAAAAGGUGAAGGAGAAGGAGAGGUUAGAGGAGUGUGUCUUGUCACCCUGCAAAGUGACCACAAAUCUGACGUGGCAGAAUUAACUGACAAUAGGAAAAUGUACUAAACCACUGUUUGUAAAAUGAGAAAGCAAAUUGUUUUAAUACUUUUAUAUUUACGUGGAAAUCCAUGUUGACCAAGUUUACAUAUUAAUAAUCAUAUUAUAUCAAAUAUAAUUUGUAUUUUAGCCUAAAAAUGCAUUCUGAAAGACCAGAGUCCAUGAAGACGACCAACAGCAGGGCAACAGCAAACAACCCACCUCAGAGAUUAGAGAGGCUGCCAUUCCAGGAUCAGCUCUUCAGGUAAAUUAAAGCAUCUCAGUGCCCAGUAAGUGCUAGAGACCAGUAACUACUGAAAACUCCCACAUAUCUAAUUUCAUGAAAAGUAGGAAAAAGAAUAUCAUAAAAGUUACAAAUUUGCAUCAUCUCAAAAAGCACAAACAGUAGUGUUAUCCCUCAACUAUAAAUUGCUGUUUUAUGAAAUUGUAUAUAUUAUAAUGCAAUGCAGUUGUUUGUUUUUGUUCUGCUGAUUUCAAGUUCCGCAAUGCAGUUUUUUGUUUGUUUUUGUUCUGCUGAUUUCAAGUUCACAGCCACAGAAACGAGAACUCUGAGGGCCGGGGGAAAUGUGCUUACAGACACCGGAGAGCAACAGCCCCGGGCAGCACCGCCAUGUUUGCUGGUCCCCUGGAAGACAUCACUGGUUCUGCCUCCCUUUUUUCUGCAAUAAUGCUCGAGGUGACUUUCUAAUAACACUAACUGACCUCUGAAAAGAAACCUGGUUCUGGGUGUAAGGAGUUUAUUCAGAAAAGGUCAAGGAUAGAGCCUCAGAAAUCCUAUCCCCGCCACCUGCUGUUUCUGUGCCAUCCCCAUACCCACCCCCACCCCCACGCUGAACAUCAACUUUACUAACUUGGUAAGAAACAGGGUGGAAUGCUUCCUUGGCUUCCCAACAGAGUAAAGCAAAUAUACAUUCUCAGGAAGAAAAGAACCAACCAAAGAUUCAGGAAGAGUUUCCUUAACCUUAACAAAAAUAACUCCAGGCACUGGUAGUGCCUGCCCAGCAGCAGGAGCUUCCGCACCAAUGGGAAGACCUGCACCUCUGAUAAUGACCAAGUGUCAGACAGUCCUUACUGCGAAAAAGAACUUCUAGACAUGUACAAACUUGACCGUUCCACUUAGUAUUUCCCUAUUUUCAUACCCACUUUUCAAACUCUGCCUCUAAGAUUAAUAGCUUCAGUUCAAACUUCUUGAUUUUAGGUUGCAAACAUAUAUAUUUUUUAAACUUAUUUAGCUGCAUUGGGAUUUAGUUGCAGUGUGCAAACUCUUAAUCUGGCAUGUGGGAUCUAGUUCCUUGGCCUGGGAUCGAACCUGGGCCCCCUGCCCUGGAAGCUCUGAGUCUCAGCCACUGGACCACUAGGGAAGUUCCGUAUACGUAAUUUUAAAAUAACAAUAGUUACUGUAAAAUCAGUAACCACAUAUGCUUUUCAAAUGUGAUCAAAACAUAAAAAUGAUUUAACACCAUAAAACAAGAAAUGUUUAAUUAUUAAAUACUUUAAAGUUGAAAGAAUGUGUAUUUAUUACUCCAUAGUUAGCUUUUUCUUUUAAUUCAAAACAAAUACACCAACCUACUUUUAAAAAAUACUGCCAUAAGGCAUCUUCUCUAGGGUAAAACAACCCACUUACUGAUCAUCUAAAUAACACUGACAACUUAAACACUUUUAUCUCCAUUGCAUUCCACAAAGUUACUAAUUUUCAUUUCUGAGGUAAUUAUUUGCAUUUCCACAUAAUUUUAACAUUUACAAACCUAAUUUACAUUUGUUACACAUCAGUUUCACUUUCAGGGUCUGCAGUAUCCAGCUAACUACACGGUCUUUUCUGCAUGUAUCUUAGUACAGUAUGGAUUUACACAAUUGAAAACCCCCUCUCCUUGUCUCCCAUUUCAGAUAUUGGCUUCCAUUUACGUAUUUCCAAAACAACUGGAAAUUCUAUUUCCUUCUUCAAAAGACACACCUAAUUUUAAAGAAUUCACUAAAAAGUUUGAAGCCAUCCAAAUUACCACUAAAUUACCUGUAAGGACUACCGUACCAGCUUCCAAAAUCUAAAAAAAAAAAACUCUCAAGAUUCAGAAUUGUUACAAACAUCUUCCAAAGUGUUAAGAUUUUCAUAUUGAAGUAUUACUGUCAUUCUGUAGAAAGUUUUAAUCUCUCAAAGGGCUACCUUCUCCUUCGUAAUAUAAGCGAUAAAAAUUAAAAUAAUAGUGACAAUACCCUAAACCAACCUUUCUCCCGGUGUACUCAGGAGCUGCACUAAUACAAAUGAGUUCAUUGCGAUUUCAGGGGAAGUGUACACGUACACAGACACACACACACUUGCAUGUGUAGGGGUGAGAACAAUACUGAUAGGUCUACUCUUUCUAGAGUAAAAAUUUAAAAACAAGUCUAAAACACAAUAAUCCAAAAUUCAUGUUCACAAAGAAUGAAACAGUGGAAAUGGGAAGUAAUGAAGUUAAAACCCUACUGUGGCUUCCUAUGUAUUGCUUCAAAGGAUACCAAAAAAGUGGCAAAGAAGUUUAAAAUUACUUAAACCUGCACCUUCCUUCUCCAGAUUUGUUAAUACUGGAGUAACAAUGGCAUUCUGUAUCAGACACUACAACGUGAGUGAUAUAGUAACCUCCAACUUCAUAUCACAAAGGAGCAAAUGCAAUACUGUAUACAUCCUGUACUUGUUUCCCUCGCGAUUUGUCACAGCUAGGUAAGAGCUGGCCAUAAAAUAUGGAGGCAAGCCGAAGGCCCUGAGUCGCUUUCACGGUGUAAGUACAGCAAAGCAAGAAGGAGCACAUACCCAGUCCAGGGCUUCAUUGGGCAUCCACAACCCUGCUCUCUGCCUGGGUUCACACUACUAUCUUCACUAUGUAUCACCAAACGUUAACAACGCUAUUGCUAAAUGAAUGCACCCCAUCCAAAGCAAAAAAAAAAGCCAAACUAGAACAAAAACCCAGAGAAUCCGUAAGUGAGCUGCUCUCCGCGGCGUCCGCUGCACCCUUGCACUAGCAGGAGACGACCAUAUAAUGAAAUGAGUAAGCACCCAAGCCAUUCUACAACUCCGAGGGCGGCCACGGACCUGCUCGGCACCCUCGAGAGCCACGAGUGCUCUGCGCCUCCCCGGUACGAAACGGCUUUCUGGAUUCCACGGGCAAAGUUGUCCGAGAACCACACUGCAAAAAGGCAUUUCUAACAAUCGAAAACCGGCGCUGCCCAGCCCCGGGGUGCCGGCUCCGAAGCACCCAAGAGCCGCUCCGGCCCCGCUCACAGCUCGGAGGCGGCUCCUCGAGGCGAGUUCGGUCGCGGUUUCCAUCGGUCCGGAGCUGCACCAACGUGCUCCUCACGCUCGGCCGGCGGUUGGGAGCGACGUUUCCAAAAACUUGGCGCUCGCGGUCCCCGCGCGGCCACCUCACGGAGUUUGAGCGGCUCGGGCCGGGCGGUGCGGGCCGGGCGGGGGAGGGGAGCGGCCGUGAGACUUCCCGACGCGCCGG
ensembl:lincRNA